AUUGAAAGAAGAGAAGAAGAAGAUGCAUAAUCUACACUACUCCACCAAGAAUGUUCUUCUUCUUCUUGUGGCAUUCUUCAUGCUUUGUUUCAUCUCCCCGUAUGUUCAAGGUAAACGAUGCGACUCGACAUACGUACGAACAUCGUUGGUUUGAUACGAUUCAAUCUGUAUUUGUAAAAUCAUAUCAUACGCAUUGAGCCACGGUAAAAUUGAGUAUUAUUUAAUCUGUAUUUGUUACGUUUCAGGGAGGAGAUUGCAAGCAGUAAUAAGUGACGAAAAGCUUGAAGUAGUAGCAGUAGUGGAGAAGAGAGCACAAUACUAAGAAUUUGGUUAAGGAAGUUUCUUCCGUCGGCGGCGAAACCCGACUGUCAAAGUCUGGUCUAGAAAAGUUAGGUGUAGAGGUUCAACACAAACAAACUAAAUUGUCGGAUUCUGUCGACCUAGUCGCGAUGGACUAUAGUCCGAUGAGGAAUAAGCCUCCUGUUCACAAUUAAAUUUGGCCCUACAAGUUACAAAAUCCACUACAUUUCAUGGCCAAAAAUCAAUUUUCCGACUUCAUAGUAAUUAAGAUACAAAUUAAGGCACCAACAAUAUCACAUCAUAUGAUUAUCGAAUCAAUGAAGGUGCAUGAACCAAGCUCUUAUCUAGGGCACGUCAUAAUGGUUUGGAUGAUUGG
rnacentral:lncRNA from 1 species